AUUGAACGCUGGCGGAAUGCUUUACACAUGCAAGUCGAACGGUAGAGGGGGGCAACCCCCUUGAGAGUGGCGAACGGGUGAGUAAUAUAUCGGAACGUGCCCGGUCGUGGGGGAUAACGUAGCGAAAGCUACGCUAAUACCGCAUACGAUCUACGGAUGAAAGCGGGGGAUCGCAAGACCUCGCGCGAUUGGAGCGGCCGAUAUCAGAUUAGGUAGUUGGUGAGGUAAAGGCUCACCAAGCCGACGAUCUGUAGCUGGUCUGAGAGGACGACCAGCCACACUGGGACUGAGACACGGCCCAGACUCCUACGGGAGGCAGCAGUGGGGAAUUUUUGGGACAAUGGACGCAAGUCUGAUCCAGCCAUUCCGCGUGCAGGAUGAAGGCCCUCGGGUUGUAAACUGCUUUUGUACGGAACGAAAAGGUUUCUAUUAAUACUAGGAGACUCAUGACGGUACCGUAAGAAUAAGNACCGGNUAACUACGUGCCAGCAGCCNCGGUAAU
rnacentral:rRNA from 1 species